GACGAACGCUGGCGGCGUGCUUAACACAUGCAGGUCGAACGGUGAAGCGAGUGCUUGCACUCGUGGAUCAGUGGCGAACGGGUGAGUAACACGUGAGUAACCUGCCCAUCACUCUGGGAUAAGCACUGGAAACGGUGUCUAAUACUGGAUACGACCAACCCUUGCAUGGGGUGUUGGUGGAAAGAUCUAUCGGUGAUGGAUGGACUCGCGGCCUAUCAGCUUGUUGGCGGGGUAAUGGCCCACCAAGGCGACGACGGGUAGCCGGCCUGAGAGGGUGACCGGCCACACUGGGACUGAGACACGGCCCAGACUCCUACGGGAGGCAGCAGUGGGGAAUAUUGCACAAUGGGCGAAAGCCUGAUGCAGCGACGCCGCGUGAGGGAUGACGGCCUUCGGGUUGUAAACCUCUUUCAGCAGGGAAGAAGCGAAAGUGACGGUACCUGCAGAAGAAGCACCGGCUAACUACGUG
rnacentral:rRNA from 1 species